UCCUCCGGAAGCCAACCACAGCGCCAAAUUCCCCUUUCUCUCCCAAAGUCAACACCUCCACCAAAUCCUCCCCUUCCUCUCCGCUCAGAUCUGUACAGCGAACUGCUGCUCGCCGCCGCCUCAUUCUUCCGUUCUCCCCUCCCCCCCGACCCUAAUUGCCAUGGCUGCGCUGCGCGUGAUGACUUCGGCGCGCCGCCACGAACUGAUUUGACGGCCACCUAAACUAUCCGUCGUCGUACCGCCUACCUUGGAAUCACCAUCGAAGGGGUGUGCGUAGCGUCCAUGCCGCCCGCGCCGACCCGUUUGGCUUCGAUGACCACCAGAUCUAGCCGCCAUUGUACCGUGCCGUGCGCGUCGCCCCGACCUUCCCAAAGGGACGGAAGGUUUUCUUCGAUGGAUUCCACUUUAUAACACAUAAUGCUUCCAGUUUGUAUCAGGUUGUAUUGACUCCUACGUUUGUAAAUAUCAACUUGCAAUAUCUUACUAGAACUUAACAUGGAAAUAUGUUCAAUGGUUAUCAACAGUUGUUUUGACUAUCCUUUAGUAUUCUACUAUAUAUUUAUCUUAUUACCAGUAUAAUAAAUUAAGUCUUUCUGGAUAAUUAUUCCCUAGAUGUUGCUUGAGCCUCUAUUAACAUGUCCAGGCGUUUUUAACAGCAGUAGUUGAUGCAAGUUCAGUUGCACCUAAACACACAUAAAAAAUGUUGGCAUGUAAGUUCCUGUCUGUUGAUAUUGCCAUUUAGAGUUCUUGUACACAUAUCCUUGCUUCUCAUUAUCACACCUAUAUUAUAAUUGCGGGAUCUUGUGAUGCUAUCAAUGUAGUCAGAAGUCAUAACCUCUACAUCCACAUCAUUUCCUGCUUUGUUCGGCACUUCAUCUCCCAGGUAAAACCUACUCCCAUUAUAGAUAUACAUGUGCUAUGGUACUACAUUUCUGCUCUCAUUCGAUCUGUAUGGCGCCUAAAUUGUGUAGGCUCGCAAGGAAGAGAUCGUUGGAUUCCUCCCUGGAUCAAACGGUUCUUCUGCAGUUCUGCCGAUGGUGUCCUGCUCGCUCGGUAGUACAUUUUAUGGCGACAAAGCAUGUGCUGCAUCUAUACUCAGGCAGCAACAUCAAGAGAAUUCCAUGAGCGAACUCCAUGGUGAAGGAUUUCAUGUCCAUAUGUUUCCCUUCUGAUAUCUUCCUAAAUCACUUGUGCCACACGUCUUCCUAAAUCACGUCUGCGUGCCGCUCCAACUACCAACAUAUGUUUAUGAAAACGUGUGAUUUACAUUGCAACCUAAGUAAUGAUACAUACAUACUUCUUUGUUAAUAUACCCUGAACUAGGUGUGUUAGACUCCUUUUUAUCUAGAAUUAUUUUUGUUGCUACCUAUAUAUUUCUUCUCUGUUCUCAUAUUUGUGUUAAUGUUGAUUGCUUUGAAAAAUAUCACUUUAAGGUUCUCUAAGAACAAUAUGACACUGUUACUUUUCUCUGAAUAUUGUAAGCAUACCUUAUGUUUUACAGGAGUUGCUGCUGCCUCACUGUUAUACUGCUAUGGAAGAAUUAAUAUACACUUUUGGGGGGACCUUGGUAUUUGGUCUACUUCUUUCAGACCUUAUUUUCUUAUCUAUUGUUUUAAUUGUAGCUCGAGUGAAAUUUAUUGGCACUAUCAACUCAACAAUUGCGGCAGGUUGACCACUCCCCGCCUUCCUCGAAUCACUAAAUGAAGUCUUGGAAACUAAUAUAGCAGUUCUAGUGUCAUGUUCCAGUAGUGCAUCAUAAUUUGGUUUGAUGUGGCAGAAUAAUUCUCGGUUUCCCAAGUGAUUAUAGAAGUGGCACGCUGUCUAUGAAUAUUAUGUGAAAGAUAUAGUAAGGAAGGAGAAGAAUGCUGGCCACUCUAUGAAGAAUGAUGAUCAGAAGAUAACAAAUGAACAAGUUUAUUUGUUGAUGUGUUGAAUUCAGCAAAUAAAUGUGGAAAUAUUGUGUGUUGCAAAUGGAAGUAGUAGGCAGAUUGGAAACAUGGUAGUUGUAUGUGUAACAUGUGGCUUAUUUUGUGCUUCUUAUGUGUCCAUUGCUGCUAGUGGUUGUGCUGACACUAAUGUAAUUUUGCUGUUUGGCAAAUGUUAACUUCUUGUGAUCCAUCAAGUAUUAUUGAAAUAGAGUGUUUUUGUGUA